rnacentral:lncRNA from 1 species
CAUUGCUUCCCAACUUUAAUGUGGAAACCAGUUACCUGGGGAUCUAGUUAAAAUGUUCAUCUGACUCAGUAGGUCUGCAGUGGGGCCUGAGAGUCUGUAUGUCUAACAAGCUCCCAGGUGAUGCAGCUGUUCUUCAGACUGCAUAUUGACUAACAAGGCUCUAAGAGACAGAUUCUAGCCAAGGGAGAAUGGAAAAUUCACUGUGUCACUUGUUAAUGACCUUCCAAUCUUCUAAGAAUCUGUAGCUCACAGAAUGGCUGGUAGCACCCACCAGGAUCUGGGACAUUCAGCCUGAGAAAUAAAAAACUCAUCAGGAUCUGUGAAAGACAUGAAGACAGAAAUAGUACUAGAAGAAAGAAAAUGCUUAGAAGUCAUAUGCAGCAAUAAAGAACUUGGCUUGAGAGGUCAUUCCAAGAUGGUCGAAUAGGAACAGCUCCCAUCUGCAGCUCCCAGCGUGAUCGAUGCAGAAAACGGGAGGUCUGACUUCAGUGAAGAUCCAAAGGCAGAGGCCCCACAGGAGUCCUUCUGCUCCCUGGAGACAAACUAGACUGUAACCUCCAUGCAGGUAUGGAUUAUUUGCCUGCUGUGUUUAUUCUUAGCUCCAACUCCAGCACCCAGAAGAAUAUCUGACACACAGUAAGUCCUCAAUACGUGUUUAUGAAAGAAACAGUGAUUGGAAAAAAUAAAUCCAGAGAUCCCCCCAAAACUGAUCUGUUCAUAAGACGGGAGCUCCCUGGAAAGGAAUAUGGUCAUUUUAAGACUAAAACUAAUGGCAGGAUUAGAAGAGCAUCACAAAAUGAGCAUUUGUUACCUCUAAGGCUCAUGCUAGCAUAUGAAUUAUUAUACCUUGCUACUGGAAAUCAUGUAUGCUAGAUACAGUACAAAAAAUGACCACUCCCACUAAUUUUUAUCUCAGCUAGAUGUGAAAAUUAAACAAAAUGAAAACACAAUUCAAAGGUGCAAAAAGCAUUUGGUAUACUUAUAUCUGUUGCUAAAAUAAUUGCUAUUGCAAUUUUGAAGCUUAUUUACAUCUGCCAGGUAUUUGCAAAAAGACAAUUUUUUUUUUUUUUGCAAAGAACUAGACCUUUGCUGUGCUCGUUUCAAACUCUUAGCCUUCAAAAUUCUGAUUUAUGUCCUGAAGGCUGAUUCAGCUGACCUAAUCUAUGUACCUGAAAACCUGAAGAUGUUCCACAGUUUGCUUUCCCUAAAGGCUCACAUUUAUUUCUGUGGGUAUGGGAAUGAAAGAGACCAUAAAUAGAAACCCAGAAACACCACUGCUUCUUUGAUCUAUAGAAAUAAGGGAGGUAGCUUUGGUAAACAAAGGUCAUGGGCUGUCUAUGGCCAACACUCUCCCCAAAUGUGAAACCUCCAGUUCCAAUCAAAUCCUUUAACAGGAUGGUUGAGAAAUGGAAGCUGUAGAAUGAACAAGUUAAAAUCCGGUAACUAAAGCCCUGGAGCUCUGCCUAAAUUUCAGCAUAACUUACUGCUACAAGCCUGGCAAAAUAUACUCAAUAAACAUGCUCCUUUAUUGAUAGGGUACUCCUGCUUCACCUUGUAUGGUAAUUGAACUUCUCACAGAAUUUUUAUCUCUAUCAUAUAUUUUUAUUCCCAUAAAAUGUGAGUUUGGUCAAUAAAUGUAUGUCCUUGAAUAAGUUUUUAACCCCCUGUUUCUUCAUCUAUAAAAUGGAGAAACUUUAAAAAAAAUUGCUUUAUGGUUGUUAGGAGGAUUAAAUAAGGUAAUGAAUAUAAAAGGCCUGCCACAUAGCAAAUGUGCAAUGAAUGUUGGCCAAUAUUGUUUUUAAAUUUUUAAUAUAAUAAAUCUUAUACAAGCACAUGGUGAAUCUGCCAAAUAGUAAAAAAUGUCAUUGAAUGAAAAGUGAACCUCCUCCCACUGGGAACUCUUGAAACUAUACCCCAGGCAUAGUUAUAAAACCAGUUUCUUACAUGAUUGUUAUUGUAUUUGAAUUUUUAAAGUUUAUUAGUAUGUUGGAAUGGGGGUUAGAGGAUUGAAAAUCUUCUGGCUAUCAGGUUUACUGGCUAUGGUUAUUUUAGGCAAGACUAUUUGGUUAAUGCUAUAUCUGAAUCUCCUAUACUGUAAGACACACCUCCUAUACAAACACUAGUAAAAUAAAGGAAAAAGAUUGGCCUUUACUUUGUUUUUUUUUUUUUCCUUCCCAUUAAGGAAACAGUGAGUUGAGUAAAAUGCUGAUAAGUGAGGAAAGAUAUACAAGAGAUAUGGAUGAACCAAAAUUGGGAAUGUACUGAACCCAUAGGGCUUAUUUACCACAUUAACGAGCUUAAACAGGAAAAAUUGGGUGUACUGGGAUUCCAGCCAGGUUUGGACAAAUUGGAUACUAUUGUAGUAAGAGUAAGACAAACACAUUUUUUGUACGUGUGAUAAGAGGACAAUAAUUAGUGAGCAUGUAAAACUUUCUCUCUAGGUCAGAACCUCUUAAAUCAUGGCACAUUUUGGAUGGAAAUGGGGAGGUUUUCAGAUUGGCAUUUGCAUAGUGUAUGAGGUUAAAAAAAAAAAGACAAUCAGAAACCAAAAAACAAAGCAACUCCCAUUCUCAAGAUAAGUAAAGUGGGACCCAAGGAAUUUAGGUGACUUUGUCAAUGUUAUUUAAUGGUAGUGCUGCUAAUGAAACCAAGGUCUCUUUGCUUGCUUUAUAAGGCAACAUUGCUUCAUCUAAUUUCAACCUGAACAGCAAUCUGGAUGAAUGAUGUCAUUGUAAGGUCAAAGCAAUUUUAUUUACUAAAAGUCUUAAUAAAGACUGGCACUGAUUCAAUAUAGCCAUGUUUUCUCUUUGCUGUGUCUUGGCUCCGCUUAGAUGGUAAACUUCUUGAGGGCAGACUAUGUCCUACUUUUCUUCUAACUACCUGAAACACCUAACAUGUUGCUGUUGAUAUAAUGGUUAUUUUAUAAAUAUUUGAUGAUAACUGCUUAUAUGCAGCAGCAUAGAUAGUGUAUAUGGAGUGUCUAUGGGGUUUGGCUAAUACCAGCUAGGAUUAAUAUGGCCCAUGGAAAUUCAUUGUAUAGUAUAAUUGGAAAAAUGAAAACAUCCCAUAAGGAAUAUUGAUGGUCAAAGUCACUGUUUUGACUUUAAACAUAGGAAGGGAAAAGAGCAUUAUGGCUGGACUAGCAUGCAAUGAUGUGGCUUUAAGGCCCUUAGCACAGUGCUCACAGCCCGUUAAUCAAUGGCACUGUGCUUAUUGUCAAUGUGAGUCUACUGUAUCAUAUGGUGCAGUAAGCAAAUUAAAACCCGAGGGGGAAAAAUGAAGAAUGAUUUCUUUUAAACUCUUCCCUCAUUGCUCUCUUUCUCUAGUGGCUCUUCCCUAAUAGAAAGCAGCACUCCCUACUCCCUGCCCCUACUUGGUGACCACUUGUUGGUGACAAAUGGUAAAUGAUGUGGUGACAUUUGUGGCUUGAGGUAUUCUCCAACACUGCAAAAUGGUACCUAUUUAAAGAUAACUGUAGCAUCAAUACUUAAUGAAACUCUAUUGUCUUUGAAAAUGAGUGAAGUGUCCCUUUUCUUGCGUUGAAACAAAACAUAUUUUAGGAAAUACCUUGUCCUUUACAAGGGUCAGCCCCAGUUCUCCACAAGUCUCCACCUUUAUUUAUGACUAUGCCCCACAAAGCCCUCUCCUCUUUAGUCAAGCAAGUCUUGCCAUUCAAUCAUUAGUGCUUACCAUGUGCUAAGGAUAUGAAGAAAUAUGGAAGGAUACAAAGAUGAUUAAGACAUGGCUUAGUGCUGGAAAAAUGCAGCUGAACUUUCAGUUCAUUAGCCAUGAGUAAUUAAGCCUUAGACUCUUGUUGUCCAUUAACAAAACUGUUUGAUGCAGCUGUCACUGUCUCCUUUUCAUUGUUUCCAUCGUUUCCUCUUUUUUUCUGAUUAUCAUUUCCUGCCUGGCUUCUUUAAGUAUUCAUUGAAAACUUACCAUCUAUCAGGCCCUAUUCUAGCACCUGGUUGAUACCUUAAUAAACUGAACAGAUCAAAAUCCCUGUCCUUAGGGAGCUUACAUUCUACGUGGGGAGACACAGUAAAUAAUAUACAAAUAAUAACAUGGUGAAUGUUACUAAGUCCAUGGAGAAAACAAAUAGAAGAAGUGGGUGGGGUGGUGAGGAGUUCCCAGUAGGAGGUGGGGACUGUAAUUCUGAAUAUGAUGAUCAGGAAGGUCUCACUAAGACAUCUUUGAGCAGACACAUAGAGGAGAUGACGGAUGAGCCAUGUGGAUAACCGAGGGAUACCGUGUAGACAGAGGGAGCAGCAAGUACAGAGGCCCUGAGGCAAAAGCAAACAAUAUAUCUUUGUGGUAGCUACUGAGUCAUAAUUUAAAAAAAAUAAACUUUGUAUGUUGGAAUGAUUUUAGAUUUAGAGAAAAGCUGCAAAGAUAGUACAAAGAUUUCCCGUAUACCCUUCACCCAGCUUCCACUAAUGUUGAUACAUAAUUGUGGUACAUUUGUCAAAACUAAGAAAUUAAUAUUGUGAACCACAAUUUUGGGGCUAAGAAAACUGAAAUCAUUACAAUUUAUUUUAUUCACCCAAAGUUACGACAGCAAGUUAGUGGCAGAGUGAGUAUCACAACUAAGGAAUCCUAUCAGUUCCAUCUUUUAAACAAAAAUCUCACUGAUGGGAAUAUUUCCAAAUAUUUAUUUUUAAAAUCCUUUUUUUUUCCAGACUCUGGGUUUCUUUUAAAAAGCUGUUACUUUCAAGCAUAUCUUGAAAUAAUUACCUUUGCUUUGAAGGGGCAGGUCAUAUUUGUUUAUUUAAAAAAUUAUCUGCCAGAUGGCAUUACUAUUGGAAGACAAUCAUCACAGAAAAGGUCUACACAUUGGCACAUCUGUUUAUUUGUAAACUAGCUCAGUGUCACGACGUAGCUAGUAAAAAUCUGUGUGGUUUAACAGAUUCCCAUGGCUUCCCCUUCCCCAAACCCUGGUUCUUCUUGAUUAGGAGUAAACGAAUGUUACUGCUGCACCCCCAAACUUUCCUAUUCAGACUCAUGAACUCAUCCAAUAAAUGUUCAUUAAGCAACUACUAUACGUCAGGUACUGCCAAGGACUUGAUAUUGUUCUAGUGGAGAAAACUGGUAGAGAAUGCACUGAUUGCAGUACAGGGAAGCACAUGGUAUGAGGGAAGCAUGCACAGCAAGGAACUCAGUAUGGAAAGGUGGAUGAAGGCUUCCCAAAGGAGAUCUCUCUUGAGCUGGACGACUUGAAAUUAGCCAGAUUGGGAAAGGGGUGAACCAAACACCUCUCACAGAGGGAUCAGCAUGUUCAAAAUUACAAAGGCAAUAUAUCUGAAACAGGGCAACAUAUCUGAAACAUAUAUGAAACAACAGGGCAAUCUAUCUGGGAAACUGUACAGCAGAGAGUGUGUUUGGAGUGUUAGAAAUGGGUAAAACAGGGCUACUGGAGUGUUAGAAGCGGGUAAAACAGGGCUACUCAAAGUGUGAUCCUUGGACCAGCAGCACUGGCAUCACCUUUGAGCUAGUUAGAUAUGUAAAUGCAAGGGCCCCACCUGGACCUACUGAAUCUGAAUCUAUGGGGAUGAGACCCAGGAAACUGUUUAUUUAUUUUAUUUUAUUUUUUUUUCUCGCUGUGUCACGCAGGCUGAAGUGCAGUGGUGCG